rnacentral:lncRNA from 1 species
GUGGUACCUAACACUACAGGGAGAUAACUCUGUAAAGUCAGCUAAACGUUUUAAUUACGUUGUGUUGUAAAGGGAAUAUUAAGCUUCUCAGUGAUUAAAAUUGGCGUUUGUCAAACUGCUAUAUAACCAGUGUAAUUUUUCUGAUAAAAUGGUUGGUUCAAAAUGUUUGAAAUUUUUAUAUUUUUGUUAAAGGGUCAAAGUAAAUACUUUGUCAAAAUUUUAUGAAAAUUAAACGAGCC